GGAGCUGAGAGCAUUGCCUGAGGCUGUUUGCUGCAGUGUAGAAGCUGCCUCACCCAAGAGAUGCUGUUCACACCUCGGAUGGACAAAACUGUCUUCUCCUGCUGUGAAUCCCCAACUCGCGCUUCCCUUGGGUGCAAGCUUGAUCACAUCUAAACUGAAGCAAGGACCAUCUCUGCUCCUUCUCUGCCUCUGCCCCAGGCCCAUUGACUGGCUGUAGUGGUGUCGUGGAGCCCCUAUAGAGCACCCCUGUAACAACCAGUGAAGGGGAUGCCUCCAAAGGUGCCUUCAUUUGGUACCUAAACCAACCUGAAGGGUUUCCAGCCCUGUUAAGCCCAUUUACAAGAACUAUAACAGCUGAACAAUAGCAAAGGAAUGCUCUGAUCCAAGCCUGUUCCUGGUGCCCUGUCCCGAAAGCCUGAGGAGCUGGGAAGCUCCAGGUGUGGGUACAGUGGGUACAGACAAGCACUGUCCUGGCCUGUUCUCCUGUGGGCCAGGGCCAGGCUUUGGUGCCUGCUGCUCAAUGCUUGCACAGCCUGGGCUGGUCUGUAACUGGUGUGAGUGGGCACAACUGGGGGUACUGGGAACAGUGCAGGGCUGAGCACAGUGCCAGGACCUCUGCAAGCAGGGUAAUGGGAGGAUGAGU
rnacentral:lncRNA from 14 species